UACGAAGGGGGCUAGCGUUGCUCGGAAUCACUGGGCGUAAAAGGGUGCGUAGGCGGGUCUUUAAGUCAGGGGUGAAAUCCUGGAGCUCAACUCCAGAACUGCCCUUUGAUACUGAAGAUCUUGAGUUCGGGAGAGGUGAGUGGAACUGCGAGUGUAGAGGUGAAAAUUCGUAGAUAUUCGCAAAGAACACCAGUGGCGAAGGCGGCUCACUGGCCCCGAUACUGACGCUGAGGCACGAAAAGCGUGGGGGAGCAAACAGGG
rnacentral:rRNA from 1 species